rnacentral:rRNA from 1 species
GAUGAACGCUGGCGGCGUGCCUAAUACAUGCAAGUCGAGCGAACGGACGAGAAGCUUGCUUCUCUGAUGUUAGCGGCGGACGGGUGAGUAACACGUGGAUAACCUACCUAUAAGACUGGGAUAACUUCGGGAAACCGGAGCUAAUACCGGAUAAUAUUUUGAACCGCAUGGUUCAAAAGUGAAAGACGGUCUUGCUGUCACUUAUAGAUGGAUCCGCGCUGCAUUAGCUAGUUGGUAAGGUAACGGCUUACCAAGGCAACGAUGCAUAGCCGACCUGAGAGGGUGAUCGGCCACACUGGAACUGAGACACGGUCCAGACUCCUACGGGAGGCAGCAGUAGGGAAUCUUCCGCAAUGGGCGAAAGCCUGACGGAGCAACGCCGCGUGAGUGAUGAAGGUCUUCGGAUCGUAAAACUCUGUUAUUAGGGAAGAACAUAUGUGUAAGUAACUGUGCACAUCUUGACGGUACCUAAUCAGAAAGCCACGGCUAACUACGUGCCAGCAGCCGCGGUAAUACGUAGGUGGCAAGCGUUAUCCGGAAUUAUUGGGCGUAAAGCGCGCGUAGGCGGUUUUUUAAGUCUGAUGUGAAAGCCCACGGCUCAACCGUGGAGGGUCAUUGGAAACUGGAAAACUUGAGUGCAGAAGAGGAAAGUGGAAUUCCAUGUGUAGCGGUGAAAUGCGCAGAGAUAUGGAGGAACACCAGUGGCGAAGGCGACUUUCUGGUCUGUAACUGACGCUGAUGUGCGAAAGCGUGGGGAUCAAACAGGAUUAGAUACCCUGGUAGUCCACGCCGCAAACGAUGAGUGCUAAGUGUUAGGGGGUUUCCGCCCCUUAGUGCUGCAGCUAACGCAUUAAGCACUCCGCCUGGGGAGUACGACCGCAAGGUUGAAACUCAAAGGAAUUGACGGGGACCCGCACAAGCGGUGGAGCAUGUGGUUUAAUUCGAAGCAACGCGAAGAACCUUACCAAAUCUUGACAUCCUUUGACAACUCUAGAGAUAGAGCUUUCCCCUUCGGGGGACAAAGUGACAGGUGGUGCAUGGUUGUCGUCAGCUCGUGUCGUGAGAUGUUGGGUUAAGUCCCGCAACGAGCGCAACCCUUAAGCUUAGUUGCCAUCAUUAAGUUGGGCACUCUAAGUUGACUGCCGGUGACAAACCGGAGGAAGGUGGGGAUGACGUCAAAUCAUCAUGCCCCUUAUGAUUUGGGCUACACACGUGCUACAAUGGACAAUACAAAGGGCAGCGAAACCGCGAGGUCAAGCAAAUCCCAUAAAGUUGUUCUCAGUUCGGAUUGUAGUCUGCAACUCGACUACAUGAAGCUGGAAUCGCUAGUAAUCGUAGAUCAGCAUGCUACGGUGAAUACGUUCCCGGGUCU